UGGGGAAUUUUCCGCAAUGGGCGAAAGCCUGACGGAGCAAUGCCGCGUGGAGGUGGAAGGCCUACGGGUCGUCAACAUCUUUUCUCGGAGAAGAAGCAAUGACGGUAUCUGAGGAAUAAGCAUCGGCUAACUCUGUGGCAG
rnacentral:rRNA from 1 species